rnacentral:lncRNA from 1 species
GCGAUAAUACCAUUUCGGAGACCUUUGCUAACGAGCAGACUUACAGUUUUCCGUAUCCAAUGUAGUGCAGAGCUCGCCAAAGUUGGAAAUUAGCAUCGUGGAGUAAGAUCCAAUGUUCAAAUGGAAUUUGGUUCAUCUUCCUUGGCCCGAUCGUAGCCCGGCUUUGAACCAUAUUGAGCUUAUUUGGGACACUAUUGGGCGGAAAGUGAGCGAAAGGACACCCCUGUUCAAACACAACAUGAAAUAAACAAUUCCCUUCAUCAGAAAUGGUUGCUGCUACCUUAGCAACAAAUUAGUCGAGUUAUGGCAGGAAUCAGAAGACGUUAAGAUGCGGUUAUCCGUUUGAAUGGAGGCUGCGCACAAAGUACUAAUUCUUUGGCGUAUAACGAUCA